rnacentral:rRNA from 1 species
AAAAGGCAGAUCAUUAAACCUUUGGAUUGUGUUUUUUGCUCUGAAGAUGAAACCGUUCAUCAUCUCCUUUUUGAUUGUGUGGUCGCUAAGUUUGUGUGGGCAAUCAUUAGAGAACAUUUCAAAGUAGAUGUAGGCACGGAUUAUUUGUCUGUUGCCAGAUUUUGGCUCUCAAACAAAAAGAGAUCCUCCCUUAAUGUAGCAUGUGCAGUAACCAUGUGGUGCAUAUGGAAACUUAGAAAUUCCAUUAUCUUUAACAACGCCAUAUGGAUUUCUCUCAAGCAAGUUUUAGGGAAGAUGCUGAGUUUGACCAAGAUCUCGAUACUGGUCGAAACUUUGGGGGGCUUCUUGAGGUACUUAAAGGAAGUGAAGGCGCCUCUAACCAUCAAGAGUGGCUGA